rfam:Camelus ferus unplaced genomic scaffold scaffold367, whole genome shotgun sequence.
GAGGGUAUAGCUCAAGUGGUAGAGCACAUGCUUAGCAUACAUGAAGUCCUGGGUUCAAUCCCUGGUGCCUCCU